rnacentral:misc_RNA from 1 species
UUUCCGUAGGUGAACCUGCGGAAGGAUCAUUAAAGAAUUGCCCCGUCUUCUCGUAGUUGGGUUCUAUUCCAAACCGUGUUUACAUACCUUUGUUGCUUUCGCGGGCCGCCGCUUCGGCGUUGGAUCCGGCUGACUGCGCCCGCCAGAGGACCACAACUCUUUUGUUUAGUAAUGUCUGAGUACUAUAUAAUAGUUAAAACUUUCAACAACGGAUCUCUUGGUUCUG